CUAGGUGUAGCAAUACAUGCUGACGACCGGCGCACGGGUGCGUAACACGUAUAUAAUCUACCUUUUACUGGAGAAUAGCCCGAAGAAAUUCGGAUUAAUACUCCAUAAUAAUAUUGAGGGGCAUCUCUUGAUAUUUAAAGUUCAGACGGUAAAAGAUGAGUAUGCGCGAUAUUAGCUAGUUGGUGAGGUAACGGCUCACCAAGGCGACGAUAUCUAGGGGUACUGAGAGGUUACACCCCCACACUGGUACUGAGACACGGACCAGACUCCUACGGGAGGCAGCAGUAAGGAAUAUUGGACAAUGGUCGCAAGACUGAUCCAGCCAUGCCGCGUGCAGGAUGACUGCCCUAUGGGUUGUAAACUGCUUUUAUACGGGAAUAAACCCGGGUACGUGUACCCGGCUGAAUGUACUGUAAGAAUAAGGGUCGGCUAACUUCGUGCCAGCAGCCGCGGUAAGACGAAGGACCCAAGCGUUAUCCGGAUUCAUUGGGUUUAAAGGGUGCGUAGGCGGGUUGAUAAGUCAGUGGUGAAAGCCCAACGCUUAACGUUGGAACUGCCAUUGAUACUGUCGAUCUUGAAUGUGUUUGAUGUGGGCGGAAUAUGACAUGUAGCGGUGAAAUGCUUAGAUAUGUCAUAGAACACCGAUUGCGAAGGCAGCUCACAAAGCCACUAUUGACGCUGAGGCACGAAAGCGUGGGGAUCAAACAGGAUUAGAUACCCUGGUAGUCCACGCCGUAAACUUUGAUCACUCGCUGUUGGCGAUACACUGUCAGCGGCUAAGCGAAAGCGUUAAGUGAUCCACCUGGGGAGUACGGUCGCAAGACUGAAACUCAAAGGAAUUGACGGGGGCCCGCACAAGCGGUGGAGCAUGUGGUUUAAUUCGAUGAUACGCGAGGAACCUUACCAGGGCUUGAAAGUUAGCGACUUACCGUGAGAGCGGUGAUCCCUUCGGGGCGCGAAACUAGGUGCUGCAUGGCUGUCGUCAGCUCGUGCCGUGAGGUGUUGGGUUAAGUCCCGCAACGAGCGCAACCCCUACUUCUAGUUGCCAACAGGUAAUGCUGGGGACUCUAGAGGAACUGCCCGCGCAGGCGGUGAGGAAGGUGGGGACGACGUCAAGUCAUCACGGCCCUUACGUCCUGGGCUACACACGUGCUACAAUGGCGGAGACAACGGGCAGCUACACUGCGAAGUGAUGCUAAUCUCUAAACUCCGUCUCAGUUCGGAUUGAGGUCUGCAACUCGACUUCAUGAAGCUGGAAUCGCUAGUAAUCGCGUAUCAGCAAUGACGCGGUGAAUACGUUCCCGGGCCUUGUACACACCGCCCGUCAAACAAUGGAAGCUGGGAGUACCUAAAGUCAGUAGUCGCAAGACGCUGCCUAGGGUAAAACCGGUAACUGGUGUUAAGUCGGAACAAGGUAGCCGUACCGGAGGUGCGGCUG
rnacentral:rRNA from 1 species